AAGUGGAGCAAUCCAUGAGUAGAGUGGCGAACGGGUGAGUAACACGUGGGUGACCUGCCUUCGAGUGGGGGAUAACAUCCCGAAAGGGGUGCUAAUACCGCAUGACAUCCUGCCUUUGAACAGGCGGACAUUAAAGCCGGGGAUCGCAAGACCUGGCGCUCGAAGAGGGGCCCGCGCCCGAUUAGCUAGUUGGUGAGGUAACGGCCCACCAAGGCUACGAUCGGUAUCCGGCCUGAGAGGGCGGACGGACACACUGGGACUGAGACACGGCCCAGACUCCUACGGGAGGCAGCAGUGGGGAAUUGUUCGCAAUGGGCGAAAGCCUGACGACGCAACGCCGCGUGGAGGAUGAAGACCUUCGGG
rnacentral:rRNA from 1 species